UACGGAGGGGGCUAGCGUUGUUCGGAAUUACUGGGCGUAAAGCGCACGUAGGCGGUUUUGCAAGUCAGAGGUGAAAGCCCGGAGCUCAACUCCGGAAUUGCCUUUGAGACUGCAUCACUUGAACGUCGGAGAGGUGAGUGGAAUUCCGAGUGUAGAGGUGAAAUUCGUAGAUAUUCGGAAGAACACCAGUGGCGAAGGCGGCUCACUGGACGACUGUUGACGCUGAGGUGCGAAAGCGUGGGGAGCAAACAGG
rnacentral:rRNA from 2 species